AUUGAACGCUGGCGGCAUGCUUUACACAUGCAAGUCGAACGGCAGCGCGGGCUUCGGCCUGGCGGCGAGUGGCGAACGGGUGAGUAAUAUAUCGGAACGUACCCAAGAGUGGGGGAUAACGUAGCGAAAGUUACGCUAAUACCGCAUACGAUCUAAGGAUGAAAGCAGGGGACCGCAAGGCCUUGUGCUCCUGGAGCGGCCGAUAUCCGAUUAGCUAGUUGGUGAGGUAAAGGCUCACCAAGGCAACGAUCAGUAUCUGGUCUGAGAGGACGACCAGCCACACUGGAACUGAGACACGGUACAGACUCCUACGGGAGGCAGCAGUGGGGAAUUUUGGACAAUGGGGGCAACCCUGAUCCAGCAAUGCCGCGUGAGUGAAGAAGGCCUUCGGGUUGUAAAGCUCUUUUGUCAGGGAAGAAAAGGGAGUGGCUAAUAUCCAUUCCUGCUGACGGUACCUGAAGAAUAAGCACCGGCUAACUACGUGCCAGCCGCCGCAGUAAGAC
rnacentral:rRNA from 1 species